rnacentral:rRNA from 1 species
GCCUAUUAGUGGGGGACAACAUUCCGAAAGGAAUGCUAAUACCGCAUACGCCCUACGGGGGAAAGCAGGGGAUCUUCGGACCUUGCGCUAAUAGAUGAGCCUAAGUCAGAUUAGCUAGUUGGUGGGGUAAAGGCCUACCAAGGCGACGAUCUGUAGCGGGUCUGAGAGGAUGAUCCGCCACACUGGGACUGAGACACGGCCCAGACUCCUACGGGAGGCAGCAGUGGGGAAUAUUGGACAAUGGGCGAAAGCCUGAUCCAGCCAUGCCGCGUGUGUGAAGAAGGCCUUUUGGUUGUAAAGCACUUUAAGCGAGGAGGAGGCUACUUGGAUUAAUACUCUAGGAUAGUGGACGUUACUCGCAGAAUAAGCACCGGCUAACUCUGUGCCAGCAGCCGCGGUAAUACAGAGGGUGCGAGCGUUAAUCGGAUUUACUGGGCGUAAAGCGUGCGUAGGCGGC